UACGUAGGGGGCAAGCGUUGUCCGGAUUUAUUGGGCGUAAAGAGCGUGUAGGCGGCCGUACAGGUCAGCUGUGAAAACUCGAGGCUCAACCUCGAGACGUCGGUUGAAACCGUACGGCUAGAGUCCGGAAGAGGAGAGUGGAAUUCCCGGUGUAGCGGUGAAAUGCGCAGAUAUCGGGAAGAACACCCGUGGCGAAGGCGGCUCUAUGGGAAGGUACUGACGCUGAGACGCGAAAGCGUGGGGAGCGAACAGG
rnacentral:rRNA from 1 species